AACGAACGCUGGCGGCAUGCCUAACACAUGCAAGUCGAACGAGACCUUCGGGUCUAGUGGCGCACGGGUGCGUAACGCGUGGGAACCUGCCCUUAGGUUCGGAAUAACUCCCCGAAAGGGGUGCUAAUACCGGAUAAUGUCUUCGGACCAAAGAUUUAUCGCCUUUGGAUGGGCCCGCGUUGGAUUAGCUAGUUGGUAGGGUAAAAGCCUACCAAGGCGACGAUCCAUAGCUGGUCUGAGAGGAUGAUCAGCCACACUGGGACUGAGACACGGCCCAGACGCGUACGGGAGGCAGCAGUGGGGAAUAUUGGACAAUGGGCGAAAGCCUGAUCCAGCAAGGCCGCGUGAGUGAUGAAGGCCUUAGGGUUGUAAAGCUCUUUUACCCGGGAUGAUAAUGACAGUACCGGGAGAAUAAGCUCCGGCUAACUCCGU
rnacentral:rRNA from 1 species